rnacentral:rRNA from 1 species
UGGGGAAUUUUGGACAAUGGGCGCAAGCCUGAUCCAGCCAUGCCGCGUGUCUGAAGAAGGCCUUCGGGUUGUAAAGGACUUUUGUCAGGGAAGAAAAGGCUGUUGCUAAUACCGACAGCUGAUGACGGUACCUGAAGAAUAAGCACCGGCUAACUACGUGCCAGCAGCCGCGGUAAUACGUAGGGUGCGAGCGUUAAUCGGAAUUACUGGGCGUAAAGCGAGCGCAGACGGUUACUUAAGCAGGAUGUGAAAUCCCCGGGCUCAACCUGGGAACUGCGUUCUGAACUGGGUGACUAGAGUGUGUCAGAGGGAGGUAGAAUUCCACGUGUAGCAGUGAAAUGCGUAGAGAUGUGGAGGAAUACCGAUGGCGAAGGCAGCCUCCUGGGAUAACACUGACGUUCAUGCUCGAAAGCGUGGGUAGCAAACAGGAUUAGAUACCCUGGUAGUCCACGCCCUAAACGAUGUCAAUUAGCUGUUGGGCAACUUGAUUGCUUAGUAGCGUAGCUAACGCGUGAAAUUGACCGCCUGGGGAGUACGGUCGCAAGAUUA